GCCUACGGGGCGCAGCAGUGGGGAAUAUUGCACAAUGGGGGAAACCCUGAUGCAGCGACGCCGCGUGAAGGAUGAAGUAUUUCGGUAUGUAAACUUCUAUCAGCAGGGAAGAAAAUGACGGUACCUGACUAAGAAGCCCCGGCUAACUACGUGCCAGCAGCCGCGGUAAUACGUAGGGGGCAAGCGUUAUCCGGAUUUACUGGGUGUAAAGGGAGCGUAGACGGCAUGGCAAGUCUGAUGUGAAAACCCGGGGCUCAACCCCGGGACUGCAUUGGAAACUAUCAGGCUAGAGUGUCGGAGAGGCA
rnacentral:rRNA from 1 species